rnacentral:rRNA from 1 species
CACAUGCAAGUCGAGGGGAACGACAUCGAAAGCUUGCUUUUGAUGGGCGUCGACCGGCGCACGGGUGAGUAACGCGUAUCCAACCUGCCCAUCACUUGGGGAUAACCUUGCGAAAGUAAGACUAAUACCCAAUGACGUCUCUAGAAGACAUCUGAAAGAGAUUAAAGAUUUAUCGGUGAUGGAUGGGGAUGCGUCUGAUUAGCUUGUUGGCGGGGUAACGGCCCACCAAGGCGACGAUCAGUAGGGGUUCUGAGAGGAAGGUCCCCCACAUUGGAACUGAGACACGGUCCAAACUCCUACGGGAGGCAGCAGUGAGGAAUAUUGGUCAAUGGACGAGAGUCUGAACCAGCCAAGUAGCGUGCAGGAUGACGGCCCUAUGGGUUGUAAACUGCUUUUAUAAGGGAAUAAAGUUAGUCUCGUGAGACUUUUUGCAUGUACCUUAUGAAUAAGGACCGGCUAAUUCCGUGCCAGCAGCCGCGGUAAUACGGAAGGUCCGGGCGUUAUCCGGAUUUAUUGGGUUUAAAGGGAGCGUAGGCCGGAGAUUAAGCGUGUUGUGAAAUGUAGACGCUCAACGUCUGCACUGCAGCGCGAACUGGUUUCCUUGAGUACGCACAAAGUGGGCGGAAUUCGUGGUGUAGCGGUGAAAUGCUUAGAUAUCACGAAGAACUCCGAUUGCGAAGGCAGCUCACUGGAGCGCAACUGACGCUGAAGCUCGAAAGUGCGGGUAUCGAACAGGAUUCGAUACCCUGGUAGUCCGCACGGUAAACGAUGGAUGCCCGCUGUUGGUCUGAAUAGGUCAGCGGCCAAGCGAAAGCAUUAAGCAUCCCACCUGGGGAGUACGCCGGCAACGGUGAAACUCAAAGGAAUUGACGGGGGCCCGCAC